AAACUAACAGAUUUACUUCGGUAAUGACGUUAGGAAAGCGGGCGGCGGAUGGGUGAGUAACACGUGGGGAACCUGCCCCAUAGUCUGGGAUACCACUUGGAAACAGGUGCUAAUACCGGAUAAGAAAGCAGAUCGCAUGAUCAGCUUUUAAAAGGCGGCGUAAGCUGUCGCUAUGGGAUGGCCCCGCGGUGCAUUAGCUAGUUGGUAAGGUAAAGGCUUACCAAGGCGAUGAUGCAUAGCCGAGUUGAGAGACUGAUCGGCCACAUUGGGACUGAGACACGGCCCAAACUCCUACGGGAGGCAGCAGUAGGGAAUCUUCCACAAUGGACGCAAGUCUGAUGGAGCAACGCCGCGUGAGUGAAGAAGGUUUUCGGAUCGUAAAGCUCUGUUGUUGGUGAA
rnacentral:rRNA from 1 species